GAUGCCUGGUGUUUUCUAAUGUUAUCGCUGCUAGGGUUUUGUGACGUUUCCCCUUUAAAUUCUAGAGAGGAAUCGGAGUUUUGCAGCGGCGAUCUUCCUGCUAAUUGAGGGUUUUGGAAUCCCCCCCGGGGCGGCGAUGGACUUCGACGAGUACGAAUACCUAGAGAAGACGGUGGAGAACCCUGAGGCCCGCAAAGAGAAGGAAGCGGCCAACGGCCAUGGGGACAUCCCGAAUGAGAAGGGCCGGGAGAAGAGCUCCAGGCAUCGCGUCUCGGACGACGGCGAGCGCGACUCCGACGACCGCCGCUCAAAGCGGUCGAGGUCGGAAGACGGGAGCGGCCGUGACCGCGACCGGCAUCGCGACCGCGAGAGGGGCUCGUCUCGCCACCGCUCCUCGCCCGACCGCGACGAGAGAGAGCGCCACAGGAGCGGGAGGGAGCACAGGGACAGGGACAGGGAUAGGGAUAGGGAUAGGGAGGAGAGGAAGGGGAAGGAGCGCGACAGAGACCGAGAACGGGAGAGGGAGACGGCAAGGGAACGCGAGCGCGAGAAGGAGAGCGAGAGGGAGCGGUUGCGGAGGAGCAGGAGCCGCUCGGAGAGGCUUCGCGAGGAGGAGCGCGAGAGGUACCGGGAGACGAGCAAGGACAGGGAGUACGGAGAAAGGGAAAGAGAAAGAGAGAGGGAAUACAAAGAAAGAGAUCGAGAUCCCAGACGAUACAAAGAAAAGAAAGAAGAAGCUGCUGAGCUGGAGGCUGAUCCAGAACGAGAUCAAAGAACUGUAUUUGCUUAUCAGAUUUGUUUGAAGGCCGAUGAAAGAGACGUGUACGAAUUCUUUUCAAGGGCUGGAAAGGUGCGAGACGUCCGUCUCAUUAUGGAUCGCAACUCAAGACGGUCUAAAGGGGUUGGGUACAUUGAGUUCUAUGAUGCUAUGUCAGUUCCCAUGGCGAUAGCUCUCUCUGGCCAGCCUCUUCUUGGCCAACCAGUAAUGGUCAAACCCUCAGAGGCAGAAAAGAAUCUUGCCCAGUCAAAUACUUCUGUAGGUGGGGCAGCUGGGCUUACCGGACCUUAUUCAGCUGCAGCUAGAAAGUUGUAUGUUGGCAAUCUUCACUUCAACAUGACAGAGGAUCAACUUCGACAGGUGUUUGAACCAUUUGGUCAAGUGGAGCUGGUCCAGUUGCCCCUUGAUGAGACCGGGCAUUGCAAGGGUUUUGGUUUUGUUCAGUUUGCACGCCUUGAAGAUGCCAAAGCUGCUCAAAGUUUAAAUGGACAACUGGAAAUUGCUGGCAGGACAAUUAAGGUUUCAACUGUAACCGACCAAGCUGGAAUGCGAGAUGCUGGAGCAAAUGCUGGCGAUCUUGAUGAUGAUGAAGGUGGAGGCUUGUCUCUAAAUGCUCAUUCUAGAGCUCUCCUUAUGCAGAAGUUGGACCGGACUGGCACUGCUACCAGUGUCGCUGGUGCACUUGUUGCUCCCGCUGCCAAUUCUACAGCUCCAACUCUGCCAACUGCAUCAGUUCUUGGUGUUCCUCAAAUGGUUGCUCCUCUUCUACAGCCCACUGUACCUGCACUUGCAGGAUUACCAGCUUCAAGUCUUGCUGUUGCUUCCACAACCACACAACCUGUUGAAACUGUUGGGAUACCUAGUGAAUGUUUGCUGCUAAAGAAUUUGUUUGAUCCAAAUGUGGAGACGGAACCGGAUUUUGAUUUAGAUAUUAAAGAAGAUGUUCAAGAUGAAUGCUCCAAGUUUGGCACUGUGAAGCACAUUUUUGUGGACAAAUUUGGACUUUGGUGACACUGAGCUCGUUCCAUGAUGCAUAUGCCUCUUCUGGAAUUCAAGAUGACUCUGGUUGUAUUUAGCUUCCCAAGUUGAACAAUGUACAACCUUGAUCCUGUAGCAUCAGUUACCGAGAUAACUUGUCCAAAGAGGAUAUUCGCAACUUUUUAAGUCUUGAACUUAAAUGUCGUUUGCCACGGAAUACUGCUGGCCAUGUGUAUCUGCGUUUUGACAAUAUAACUUCAGCCAUGAAUGCACAGCGUGCACUCCACGGAAGGUGGUUUGCUGGAAAGAUGAUUACAGCAACAUUCAUGCUCCCCCAGCAAUAUGAAGCUAAAUUUCCAAGCAAAAGUUAAGUUGUUCAUAGUAACUAAGAUUUAUUUGCGAGGACACAAGUAUUAAUCGAGAAACAUGUGUCAGUAAAGUUUUAGGACAACUUGCUAGGAUGGGGUAUUGUGUCGUGUUCUGUCAUGCAUGAAUCCAUUUGUGCCUCGAGAGGUAUGCUACUGAUAUAGGGAGUUCUAGUCAAAGCUUCAUGUUUGUCACCUCAAUGUGCCUUUUUUUUUUGUUUAAAGCCCUUGGUGUUAAGGUGCUCAAGGCCUAUUAGGAGAAAUUUGUAGAACAGCCCUGCUGAAUGUCCUGGUUGUUGUUUCGUGCAGUUUGGUCAACUUUUGUUUUGUAUACGUGUAUGUUGGAGAGAAAUGCGAGCUCUUUUGUGUCACGGUGGAAGAAGAAAUAUUUCUGAGACUUGGAACACUAUUAUCUAUCCACCUAUCGUUUGCAGUGAAUCUAAAAUUUAUUAGAUCAAUUCUUAUUCAAAAGACGCACGUCCAGAUACAACCCUUUAACAAUGGGCGUUC